UACGUAGGGGGCAAGGCGUUGUCCGGAUUAUUGGGCGUAAAGAGCGUGUAGGCGGCCAGGUAGGUCAGCUGUGAAACUCGAGGCUCAACCUCGAGACGUCGGUUGAAACCACCUGGCUAGAGUCCGGAAGAGGAGAGUGGAAUUCCUGGUGUAGCGGUGAAAUGCGCAGAUAUCAGGAAGAACACCCGUGGCGAAGGCGGCUCUCUGGGACGGUACUGACGGCUGAGACGCGAAAGCGUGGGGAGCGAACAGG
rnacentral:rRNA from 1 species